rnacentral:rRNA from 1 species
CCGCUGGCGGCGUGGCUAAUACAUGCAAGUCGAACGCGAACGGCUCUUCGGAGCUUAUUAGAGUGGCGAAAGGGCGAGGAAUACUUGGGUAACGUACCCUACACACCGGGAUAACUGUGGGAAACUACAGAUAAUACUGGAUGAGACCACGACUCGUAAGAGUUGUGCUCAAAGGGCGGGGAUCUCUUCGGAGACCCGUUGGUGUGGGAGCGGCCCAAGUCCUAUCAGGUUGUUGGUGAGGUAAUGGCUCACCAAGCCUACGACGGGUACCGGGACUGAGAGGUUGAUCCGGCGCAUUGGGACUGAGACACUGCCCAGACUCCUACGGGAGGCUGCAGUAACGAAUAUUGGACAAUGAGCGAAAGCUUGAUCCAGCGACGCCGCGUGUAGGAUGAAGUCCCUCGGGAUGUAAACUACUGUCAGGGACUACCAAGCAAGGACUGUUAAUACCGGUCUGCGUUGAGGAAUCCCAGAGGAAGCCACGGCUAACUUCGUGCCAGCAGCCGCGGUAAGACGAAGGUGGCGAGCGUUGUUCGGAAUUACUGGGCUUAAAGCGCAUGUAGGCGGAUCAUCAGGUGUCUUGUGAAAGCCCUCGGCUCAACCGAGGAACUGCUGGGCAAACCGAUGAUCUUGAGGCAGGUAGGGGCAACGGGAACUCUUGGUGGAGCGGUGGAAUGCGUAGAUAUCAAGAGGAACGCCAGAGGCGAAGGCGCGUUGCUGGGCCUGUCCUGACGCUGAGAUGCGAAAGCGUGGGUAGCGAACGGGAUUAGAUACCCCGGUAGUCCACGCCCUAAACGAUGUCAACUAGAUCGAGGGUUCUCUGACGGAUUCUUGGUCGAAAUGAAAACGGUAAGUUGACCGCCUGGGGAGUACGGUCGCAAGGCUAAAACUCAAAGGAAUUGACGGGGGCUCACACAAGCGGUGGAGCAUGUUGCUUAAUUCGAUCAACGCGAAGAACCUUAUCCUGGGCUUGACAUAUUUGGAUGACCAUCUGGAAACAGAGUAGUCUGCUCUUCGGAGUGAAACUUAUACAGGUGCUGCAUGGCUGUCGUCAGCUCGUGUUGUGAGAUGUUGGGUUAAGUCCCGUAACGAGCGAAACCCUUGUCGUUAGUUGCCAGCGCGUUAUGGCGGGGACUCUAGCGAGACUGCCGGUGUUAAACCGGAGGAAGGUGGGGAUGACGUCAAGUCCUCAUGGCCUUUAUGCCCAGGGCUGCAAACGUGCUACAAUGGCGUGUACAAACCGACGCAAGACCGCGAGGUGGAGCAAAUCGGAAAAAACACGCCCCAGUUCGGAUUGGAGUCUGCAACUCGACUCCAUGAAGUCGGAAUCGCUAGUAAUCGCGUAUCAGCGUGCCGCGGUGAAUGAGUUCCUGAGCCUUGUACACACCGCCCGUCAAGUCAUGGAAGCUGGUAGCACCUGAAGUCGCCCUAUUUCAGGGGUGCCGAAGGUGAGAUCGGUAACUGGGACUAAGUCGUAACAAGGUA